UAUAUACUUCCUUCAUUUGAAAAUACUUGUCAUCAAAAUAAAUAAAAUGAAAUGUAUCUAGACGUAUUUUAGUUCUAGAUACAUCUUUUUUUAUUCAUUUUGAUGACAAGUAUUUUCGGACGAAGGGAGUAUAUA
rfam:Triticum urartu cultivar G1812 contig1061498, whole genome shotgun sequence.